ACCUGCACCCAGUAGGCACUCAGGGUUGUUUAUAGAGAACUUGUGGGGUUAUGCCCUUUAUCCACUAGGUCAUCAUAGCAAAUGGUUAUCGCUGGGGCUUGGUGCCUACACUACAAAUCCCCUUGGAAUAAACAUGAGAAAGCCAGUAGGAGUCAGUGAACCACAGAAGCAGGUUGGCUGUCAUCUGGAAUAAUGCAUUUUUAAGGAUGGUAAUGGAACUACUCCUAGAUGAUGAGAAACAACAUGACAUAAGAUCAAGAUCAACACAGUAGACUAAGAGAAAACUGGGGAGCCUGGUGUCCAGCAGAUGUCCAGACACACCUAAGAAAAAAAACAGUCCUCCCCUUCAUACUGAGGUAGAAGAGGCCCCAAGGCAAUUUGAAUAAUAGCUACUUUGUUUAAGGUUCCAAAGGGAUUUCCAGUGCCUCCCAACAUCCUCAUUAAUUACCUGGAGAACCACCAAGUGGCUCUUGGAUGGGUUGAGAGCCUCCUUCCAUUGCAAGUCAACAAUCCUUAUGACACUUGGAUGACAGAAAAGCUGCAUUUGAUGAGAAGAAGAAACAAAGCCCAGAAACAGAAGAGCAUUG